GCCGCCUCGGCGCGCCGGCCGCGAAGGCUCCCGCAGUGCACAGUAGCCGCCCCGAGCGCGGGAGGGAAGCAGCUGGGACGCGCCGGGGAAACGCGCGCGGCGGUGAAGAAACCAAUAUUCCUAGAAGUUAAAUGACUUUUCAAGGUGACCUCGUUGGUAGUGGGUUAAGCCACAUGAAACCACCAAUACCCACAAGAAACCACAGGAAGACAGUUUUGCAUGGCUCAGCCUAUCAAACAGUUAAGUUCUGAGACAAACGUGGAUGCUUGCAAAUCUGAGGCUGGGGAGUCUCUGAGAGACUGGAGGGAAAGAGUGGGGACUCCCUACUAACACCCCGACCUCCAGCACUUCCAAGCAACGCUGUUCAUAUGAAAACUUUUUAAAGUGAGUUCACUGUACAUUCUGUUUUUGCUUUCUUGCCUGUUGGCUUCAGUCAAAAGAAUCUGGACUGGAAGCCCAGCCAAACACUCUCAUCGGAUCCGAUCUCAGCCACACUGUCAUCGGAGGGAGACGUGGCAUCACCCGAACAUUCGCUCUCUUGUUCACACAUGUGGACUCUGACCAGAGGAGGACUGAGCUGCAGUGGCUACAAGCAGAUAUCUCCCAACUUCAUUGAGUUUGAUGACAGUGGUAAUAAAAAUAGUCUUUUCCGUGACGAACACUACCCAGUAAGUCGGCAGCAAAAGGGAUAGUUUUAAGAGUAACCCAUGCAUUAGCUCUUGUCAAUGAGAUUCCUUUUGGCAGUAAUAUAUUCUGGGGAUUAAGUUAAACCAAAUGUUUGUAACAAUGGAAAUGUACUCGUGUUAACAGUUAGGAUUAUUGUACCAGGGAAUAUUUAUUGCAGUUAUGUUCAAAUUAACCCUUUGGGACAUUGUUUGAUCAUUUUCAUCUCUUUUUGA